ACUCUUUUCACAAAAUCAAAAGGACAGAAUCUCAGAUCUAAAAGCUUCUAAGCUCUCGUCCAUCUCUUAGGUGAAGCCCAACCAUCAAAGCUUGCAAAUGGUUUGAAUAUGAGAAGGAUUCAGCCCAGAGAGCCCUUCGACAAGGGAGAAGCUACAACGACGAUGGUUGUGACCGCGGAACAAGCCCACCAAGGAAGUGCAUGGAGCAAUAUAACUUGGUUUGAAACAUUUCUCUGGACUGCAAGUACUCAAUUCUUCUUCUCUCGUCUUUUUCUUCCCCCAAUUUUGGAGAAAUUAGGGAUUCAUCAUCGUUCGGUAUUUCCCGAUUACCGACCGUACCAACCGAAAUUUUUGGUAUAGCGAGAAGCCGGUAUACUGAUGUUGGCGGUCGGUAUUGGUAGCAGAUUUUAGCUACCGAUCAAAUGUCAGUUGGUACACGGUAUCGGCAAAAAAAGUCGGUAACCGUCCCGAAACCAGCCCUAAUGGAUGGUGUCUAUCGCUACCAGCAAUGUUGUUAGCAAUAUAUUACUGCAAUUUUCCAAAUGGUCAGCAUCCAACCGUCUCAGGUAUGUUUUCUCCCACCAAAUCCUCACAACAUUAUAUAGCUAGUUACCAAGGGCUAGAAAUGGCCGUCUCUGCACCACCAAUCCAACAGAAAAGGGAGAGGAGGUUGAUGUGAUUGCUGAAAGGGGAAUUAUUUCCUUAUUCCCCGUGUUGUUGCUCGAGAACCCGAAAGCAUAUCUACUUCAUCAAGCUCAAGUGCAGCAACACACCUACAGACACCUACAGACUCUUACUGACAAGGUUAAGAUGUGUAGGAGGUUACUCUUUCCUAGACAAGGUUUCACCUGCGGCAACUUUCAAGAACACACCUACAGACUCUUACUGAAGGUAGAGAUUAGCCAAUCUUGGUAUGCCAACUUUCAAGAACACACCUACACAUCUACUAGGAUAACUUAUUCAAAAGGGAGAAAAAUCGAAACACAGUUCAAAGUAUCAGGAUUAUGCAGAGAAAAUGUGGAAAACAAUAGUAAAUGUAACUUUUGAAAGACUAAGAAUCACUACAUGAUAAGAAAAUGUUUUAGUUUGAAAAUGUUGGGGAAAUUGAUAGAAAAGAUUGAAACAGAAAGUUCAAGUAGCAGAAAUGUAAAAAGAAUCAUGCUUCACAAGAAACAAAAAGGAGAAGAAAAUGCAACUUUUGGAAGUAUAAGGGUAGAUAUGAAUCACUGACUAGUAAGUAGGAAUUUCAAAUGCAAAUGCAAGUGCGCAAAACUUAAUUCGGAAUGAGGGACAGUGACUCAUAUCAUUACUCCACACUGUGGUUCUUCUGACACCCUAAAACCAUUUCAACUUCAUCACGCUCGAAUGCAGCAAAACCUUAAUCUUUCCCAACCACACAUGAUUUCCACUUGGGGCAUCCAUAAACAACAUAUCAUUAGACUAUCUCUGGUGGAAUCUAAUCUGCAGCAUCAUGAUCAAGAGACUUCUUCAGUAAUGUUGCAAUAGCAAUUCAAG